UUCCGGUUGAUCCCGCCGGAGGCUACCGCUAUUGGAGUUCGAUUAAGCCAUGCGAGUCGCGAGAAAUUAGAUUCUCGGCGUACCGCUCAGUAACACGUGGGUAACCUGCCCUAUGCUGGAUAAUAACCUCGGGAAACUGAGAAUAAUGAUCCAUAGUUCACUACGCCUGGAACGGUGAGUGGAUGAAAGCUCCGGCGGCAUAGGAUGGGCCUGCGGCGUAUCAGGUUGUAGGGGGUGUAACGUACCCUCUAGCCCUCUACGCGUACGGGUGUUGGGAGACAUAGCCCGGAGAUGGAUUCUGAGACACGAAUCCAGACCCUACGGGGUGCAGCAGGCGCGAAAACUUGGCAAUGCGAGAAAUCGUGACCAGGGAACUCCAAGUGCAUGGGGUAAGACCCAUGCUUUUCUUGACUCUAAAUAGGUCUUGGAAUAAGGGGUGGGUAAGGACGGUGCCAGCCGCCGCGGUAAUACCGGCGCCUCAAGUGGUAGUCGCUUUUAUUGGGCCUAAAACGUCCGUAGCCGGUCUGAUACAUUCGUGGGUAAAUCAACCAGCUUAACUGGUUGAAUUCUGCGAGGACGGUCAGACUUGGGACCGGGAGAGGUGUGGGGUACGCUCAGGGUAGGGGUAAAAUCCUGUCAUCCUGAGCGGACCACCUGUUGCGAAGGCGCCACACUAGAACGGAUCCGACGGUCAGGGACGAAGCCUAGGGGCACGAACCGGAUUAGAUACCCGGGUAGUCCUAGGUGUAAACGCUGUGGACUUGAUGUUGGGGGUGCUCCGAGCACUCUCAGUGUCGAAGCGAAGGUGAUAAGUCCACUGCCUGGGAAGUACGGUCGCAAGGCUGAAACUUAAAGGAAUUGGCGGGGGAGCACUGCAACGUGUGGAGCGUGCGGUUUAAUUGGAGUCAACGCCGGA
rnacentral:rRNA from 1 species